CGCCCCUCUUUCGCGACCGUGACGCCCUUCCCCAGUCCCAUACCCAGGAGCUACAGCAGCUGCCGCCCCCAAGUGCCACCACCCAGCCCCGGCGGCCUCGGCCUGUGCGCGCGCUCGGGGGCCGGGGAUUGGUUCGCACUCCCAUUCAGGGGCUGCGCCGGCGGGCGGGAGGUGCGCGGCGUUCAGUGUGUCUGUGUGUGUUUGUGUCUGUGUGUGUGCGCGCGUGCGCGCGUGUGUGUGUGCGCGUGUCUGUGUGUCUGUACUGCGCGCGGGCGGGCGCGUGUGUGUGCGCGCGGGGGCCGGGGAUUGGUUCGCACUCCCAUUCAGGGGCUGCGCCGGCGGGCGGGAGGUGCGCGGCGUUCAGUGUGUCUGUGUGUGUUUGUGUCUGUGUGUGUGCGCGCGUGCGCGCGUGUGUGUGUGCGCGUGUCUGUGUGUCUGUACUGCGCGCGGGCGGGCGCGUGUGUGUGUGCGCGCGGGGGCUCUAGUGCAGGAGCCACUGGAUGUGCGUGCGUGUGUUAUGGGUUUGAUUCCAGAGCAGGUUGCACAUUGGUCCUGGGUGGCUCGCAGGCUCAGGUCGUGCUUGGGCGUCCUCCUCCUAAUCGUUUCCGAAGUAGCAGCAGCAGCAGCAGCAGCACCAGCAGCAGCAGCCGCCGCGGCAGCAUCGCAGCAGCUCAGCGGCACAGCCGGCAGAACUGUGCAGAAGCGAGCACCGUUUGGGGAGUCCGGGGGGCGGCAGUUACAUCCAGCUGUUUAUUGCCUAAGCAUUCUGGGGCUUGCUUCAUCACUUGGCUUUGCUGUGGAGCACUCCUGUAGAGCUUACUGAAUUGCAUAUUGAAGAUCCACCCAUUUGGUGAGUGGAAUCAUAGCUACAAUUUUAUGUUUUGCUCUGCUCAAGUUGUGUUUGCAUUGUUGACCAAAGUGCUUUCAUAUAGAGAGCAAAAUAGGGCUUUUCCAGCUCUGUGUAAGAAAGCUGGCUUUUCUUUUUUUUACUUUUUUUUUCUUUUUCCCUUAUGGACAAAAGUAAUUUGUACUGUCAUUUUCUCUCUCUGAAAUCAGCAAUUCUCUCUCCUUCCCAACCCAAGAGAAUGACCUUACCAUUCUUCAGUCAUGCAUCUGUUUCUUAUCUACCUGAAUGGACCUCUCCCCAGCUCUCAAGUUCUCAUUCCCUGACCUCUAAGAAUAAUUUGGCCAUCACACUUUUGGUAUUCGCUAUGUACACUUGGAAAUAAAAGGUGGUGGUUGUGAUUAGCUGGCUCACAUAGUAUCACAUUCUCAUGUAUAAAGACC
rnacentral:lncRNA from 1 species